rnacentral:rRNA from 1 species
UAUGUAGGGGCAAGCGUUAUCCGGAUUUACUGGGUGUAAAGGGAGCGUAGACGGCAGAGCAAGUCUGAAGUGAAAGCCCGCGGCCCAACUGCGGGACUGCUUUGGAAACUGCCCGGCUAGAGUGCUGGAGAGGUAAGCGGAAUUCCUAGUGUAGCGGUGAAAUGCGUAGAUAUUAGGAGGAACACCAGUGGCGAAGGCGGCUUACUGGACAGUAACUGACGUUGAGGCUCGAAAGCGUGGGGAGCAAACAGG